ensembl:misc_RNA
UAAAACCCGAAAGAUGGAGCCUCAGGUUCGCUCUCUGCGUUUCGGAUGCUGGAACCGAGAUUUCAAAAGAGCUUCCGGAGG